rnacentral:lncRNA from 1 species
AUCCAUCUUCGUCACCAAUGUGUUUUUAUGUUGUAAAGCAAUUCAUUCAAGUGUGUCUACCUCUGUUUCACAUAAAAGCACCAAUAGAAAAGCUACUACAUGUCGUUGAAGGGUACUUUAGGUAAUUUAUAGUUUCUCACUUCGUUUGAUUUAUUUAGAUUAGGUCGUCCGAAAAUUGUUUGUAAACUUCUUUGUGACGUCGAAAGUCAGUAAUUUGUUUUUAUCGUUAAUAUGUUCUACAUGUAUAGAUUUAUCAAGAAACGC